rnacentral:lncRNA from 1 species
UACCUAUAGCGUUAAUCUAAAUUUUCACAAGACAUCUAAGUGUCUGCCCUCCAAUGGUGAUCCACACAAAAAUUAGACCAAAGACAGUGCUCUACCUUCACUUUGCUUCAAGAGUUGUAGCCCCUAGAACUCAACUAGCCCUGUAUCGGUCAGGCUUCUCCAAGAACCUGACUCGACCCUCUUAGAACUUCUUCUAAACUUUUGAAUCUCUUUCUUUAGGACCUUCAUAACACUUUUUUGAAUCAGAUAAGGCUUUGUUUUAAAUCCCAAAGCCUUGUCCUAAAACUAAGAUAGGUUGUAAGAAAGAAGGGAGAGCAAUAGAGAGUACUUGGAAAGCAGAUUUGAAUGCCUCAGAUACCCAAUG